GAUGAACGCUAGCGGCAGGCCUAACACAUGCAAGUCGAGGGGUAGAGGAAGCUUGCUUCCUUGAGACCGGCGCACGGGUGCGUAACGCGUAUGCAAUCUACCUUUUACAGAGGGAUAGCCCAGAGAAAUUUGGAUUAAUACCUCAUAGUAUCUUUGCCUGGCAUCGGGUGAUUAUUAAAGUUCCAACGGUAAAAGAUGAGCAUGCGUCCUAUUAGCUAGAUGGUAAGGUAACGGCUUACCAUGGCAACGAUAGGUAGGGGUCCUGAGAGGGAGAUCCCCCACACUGGUACUGAGACACAGACCAGACUCCUACGGGAGGAAGCAGUGAGGAAUAUUGGACAAUGGGCGCAAGCCUGAUCCAGCCAUGCCGCGUGCAGGAAGACGGUCCUAUGGAUUGUAAACUGCUUUUGUGCGGGAAGAAACACUCCCUCGUGAGGGAGCUUGACGGUACCGUAAGAAUAAGGAUCGGCUAACUCCGUGCCAGCCGCCGCCGUAAAAC
rnacentral:rRNA from 1 species